GGAUCCUUAGCUCAGACGGUUAGAGCAUCUGACUCAUAAUCAGAGGGUCGUAGGUUCAAAUCCUACAGGAUCCACCA
rnacentral:tRNA from 1 species